CGCCGGCGACCGGCGCACGGGUGAGUAACACGUAUGGAACCUGCCCGUAGCAGGGGGAUAAGCGGAAGAAAUUCCGUCUAAUACCGCGUAACAACCCGAGGAGGCAUCUCCUCGGGUUUAAAGGAAGCGAUUCCGGCUACGGAUGGUCAUGCGUCGCAUUAGCUAGUUGGCGGGGUAACGGCCCACCAAGGCGACGAUGCGUAGGGGUUCUGAGAGGAAGGUCCCCCACACUGGUACUGAGACACGGACCAGACUCCUACGGGAGGCAGCAG
rnacentral:rRNA from 1 species